AGAGAUUAAUCUUAUGCUGAUUACAGGCUUCUCAUGUCUGAUAUCCAGGGACCAUUUUUACCGGCAAUAAUGGCACCCCCUUUAUAGUCAGUCUCUCAGACUGUGCAAAGCUCACUGUCGCGCCUUCUCGGGGUGCCCACCACUACUUGUUUGGAGUCUUUAGAUGACAGAGAUGAAAACCUAAGGAUUUUCUCUCAUAUUUGUGCUUCCUCCAAAUAAUUAAUUUAAAGCAGUGAAUGGCCUUCUCUCUCUCGCGCUAUCAUGUGUCUGUGUGUGUGAAUCAAGUAGGAGGGAUCAAUAUUGAAGAUGCCGAAGAACCAGCUCUGAUGAUCUGAUAGUUGCAUGAGGCUUCUUUCUCAGCCACUUACAGAAACAAGUGAUAAAGGAUCCAUUUGGAAACAUCAACCAGAAUUUAGAAAGCAAUUAAGGGUUUUGAAGUUGGAAUCCACGUACCUCCCAAACCGCGAAAGCUUAAUCAUUUGCAUUGGUGAAAGCAUAUAUGAGUACGUUUUUCCAAAGAUGAGAAAGAAACUGCAUGCGUACGUCUAUACUAAUCCUUUGCGGGGUUAAAGCUAUUAGCUAGCUAGCUAGGUUCUGCCUUCAACUUGCAGCUCUCUGCAUAUCUCUUUCCAGGAAAGCUGUGUGGUCCUCUUUCUAUUCAGUGGGUACUCUUUGAAAAGAAAAUAUAUUGGUCCCUCGCACCUAUAAGAUAGCUUCUACUUGUCUGAGGUAGCUUUCAUACACAUCAAGAUGACAAUGCUCUUACAGUAUAGACCACAACUUUUCUAAGCCAUGAAUUGACUUGUCAUGGUGGAUUUCUUUUUGUCUCUAAAACCUUCUCCCAUGCGAAACCUAAACUGCAUACAUACAUACAUAUAUAUAUAUAUAU